rnacentral:rRNA from 1 species
GACGAACGCUGGCGGCGUGCUUAACACAUGCAAGUCGAGCGGGUAAGGCCCUUUCGGGGGUACGACGAGCGGCGAACGGGUGAGUAACACGUGGGUGACCUGCCCUCAGCUCUGGGAUAAGCCUGGGAAACUGGGUCUAAUACUGGAUAUGACUCCACGGUGCAUGUCGUGGGGUGGAAAGCCUUGUGCGGCUGAGGAUGGGCCCGCGGCCUAUCAGCUUGUUGGUGGGGUGAGGCCUACCAAGGCGACGACGGGUAGCCGGCCUGAGAGGGCGACCGGCCACACUGGGACUGAGACACGGCCCAGACUCCUACGGGAGGCAGCAGUGGGGAAUCUUGCGCAAUGGGCGAAAGCCUGACGCAGCGACGCCGCGUGAGGGAUGACGGCCUGGU